AGUGGCAAUCUGAAUACAGGCAAGUGUACAAUCGGGUUUAUAUCUUGGAAGAAUCACACUGAGCGUGCACCACGGGAGCUGGAUUGGAAAAAGAGAAACCUGUGAGGCGGGUAGGCUAGGUUAAACUACCUUUUGUCUCCGGAGAGAGAAAGUCGGGCCUCUUGAAGCAGGACACGGACCUCACCCCUCCUCGCUGAGCUCCAGCCCACUCGAGGCCGUGUGGUGAUGACCACUGAUGGAGAAGCCCGGGCAGCUCCUAACUAACCCGGAACUCUCACGUAUGUAGAAUUGUUCAAUACUCAUGUCAGAAGGAACCUGGGACCUUCCUGCACAAGGAGUUAUACAAUCGUUAGAGAUGGAGCCCCGAAGAGGACCCAGAUCUCCUAGAUCUUAAGCAAGCACGAGCUCCUCUGCACAUGAUCUCACACCCACCAUGGCACUGGGAGGCAGCUACCACUGUCCCCAUUUUACAGUGUUUUACCUGCACGGGUGAUACGGAUACGAGUCACUGCCCUCCAUGAAAUCGGUAGCUCCUCCAUCAUCCUGCCUCUGUCUGCCUGAGGGCACUGGGGGAAGACAGAUCUACCCUGUGAUGACUGUGUAGCCUCCGCCUAAACACAGCCUGGCCUUGGCUUUGAGAGGAGGUCCUAGCCGAGGACCACGCAGGCCCCCAGCUGAACCCAUCACCAGCCAGCUGCUCCGUCUGUAUGCGGGUCACUCCCCAGCCCCAGAGUUUAUAA